GGUGCUCUAGUUAUAUAAUCAUGAGGUCUGAGGAUGGUGAUGACUGCACUUCAGUGGACUACCUUAUGAGGGACUGACUGUCAAGAAGCUCUGUGCAUGUGUGCUUGUGUGUGUGCAUCUGUGUAUUAUAUAUAUACAUAUACGGUAUAUAAAUAGGCACCCUAGAAACACUGGGCAUAGUGGCUCACAUCUGUAAUCCUAGUACUUUGGAAGGCCAAGGCAGGAGGAUCACUUGAGUUCAGGAGUUUGAGACCAACCUGGGCAACACAGGGAGACCCUGCCUCUAUAAAAAAACCAAAAACUUAGCCAAGUGUGAUGGUGCAUGCCU
rnacentral:lncRNA from 10 species